UACGUAGGGGCCAAGCGUUGUCCGGAUUUAUUGGCGUAAAGAGCUCGUAGGCGGUUGGGUAAGUCGGGUGUGAAAACUCCAGGCUCAACUUGGAGAUGCCACCCGAUACUGCUCUGACUUGAGUUCGGUAGGGGAGACUGGAAUUCCUGGUGUAGCGGUGGAAUGCGCAGAUAUCAGGAGGAACACCGGUGGCGAAGGCGGCUCACUGGCCCAUAACUGACGCUGAGGCACGAAAGCGUGGGGAGCAAACAGG
rnacentral:rRNA from 1 species